CCUACGGGCGGCAGCAGUGAGGAAUCUUGGUCAAUGGACGAGAGUCUGAACCAGCCAAGUAGCGUGAAGGAUGACUGCCCUAUGGGUUGUAAACUUCUUUUAUAUGGGAAUAAAAUGUUCCACGUGUGGGAUUUUGUAUGUACCAGAUGAAUAAGGAUCGGCUAACUCCGUGCCAGCAGCCGCGGUAAUACGGAGGAUCCGAGCGUUAUCCGGAUUUAUUGGGUUUAAAGGGAGCGUAGGUGGAUUGUUAAGUCAGGUGUGAAAGUUUGCGGCUCAACCGUAAAAUUGCAGUUGAAACUGGCAGUCUAGAGUACAGUAGAGGUGGACGGAAUUCGUGGUGUAGCGGUGAAAUGCUUAGAUAUCACGAAGAACUCCGAUUGCGAAGGCAGCUCACUGGACUGCAACUGACACUGAGGCUCGAAAGUGUGGGUAUCAAACAGGAUUAGAUACCCUUGUAGUC
rnacentral:rRNA from 1 species